UUGUUGCAUAAAAUCCAAGUAAAGUUUCUAAAAGUUUGUGGUUGUGACGUGUCUGUGAUGCUCUCUGUUCAGAUCUGUUUCUCUGUGAAUAAACCAUUACAAAUUAUUUAAAAUCAGUUUUAGUCUCUUUUCUGUGAGAUUAAAUGAAAACAACAUCAACAUAAAUACCAACUGUAUGUGUUUUAUAAGGCAGUUAAAAACAUUUCUACAAUGGUUGCACAUAAUUACGCCCCAGUCUAAACAAAAACAGAUUCUGUCUGGAACCUCCAGAUGAUGCCACCAGGGGGCGCAUUGCUCCACCACCAUGCCGCUGCUCUGCUUACAGGCUGACCUCCGUCACUCAGGCAGCGUCCGGAGCGGCUCGUCCAGCGAGGCCACGCCCACCUGACCGCCCGCCAUCACGCCCAGGAACUGCGUCCGCCUCUGUGUCUCGUUCCCAGACAGCUGGACGUCUCCCUGCAAGGACAGGGUCGCCGUUCAGACGUCCACACCAACAAAGGCUUACAGAACCAGAACCAGAACCAGCAGGAAUCAUGUUGAGCUUAAAGAGCUGCUGAUGACUGACGACAAACCAGAUGGACGCAGCGGUCUUCCGAUAGUAAACUCAUGACAAUGAGUCCAAUCCUCCAUGACAGAUUAAAUUACUCUCUGCUGCUGUCCAUGCAGGAACAAACCCGGCUCCGUUCAGCCUCAGAUUAUUGUUAGAAAUCAGAUAAUCCAGCAGAAAUCAUACCUGGCGUGGAACCGGACUCCGCCUCUAAUCUGACCAGCAGGAACAGUCGGCCCUUUGAGAGGCUUCGCACAGAGCGACCAUUGUGCCCCGGUCGGGUCGCUGCUGAAAGCGGAUCCGCCCGGAUCGGAUCGCCGAUUCAGCCUGGAGGCCACGGAGGGAGAGCUGCAGUUGCCUGAGCCCGACAGAACCGAACCGAACUGCUGCUGAGCCCAACAGAACCAAACUGAACCGAACCGCUGCUGAGCCCGACAGAACCGAACCGAACUACUGCUGAGGCUGACAGAACCGAACCAAACCGAACUGCUGCUGAGCCCGACAGAACCAAACUGAACCGAACCGCUGCUGAGCCCAACAGAACCGAACCGAACCGCUGCUGAGCCCAUUCACCUGGUUCUGCGGUCCGCUGAGCAGGGAGCCCACGUGGUCGUAGUCGGAGCGCUCCAUGGUCUGCAGGAAGCAGCGCUGCUGGUCUGCAGGUCGGUAGCAGAUCAGGCCCUGCAGCAACAGACUCAUCAUCAUCUUCUUCAUCAUCAUCUUCAUCUCCAAAUGACUGAAUAUUCCUGAUUAAUCCUGAUUAAUCGGUUAUUGAAACAAUAGACUGAUUUCUGCUCAGGUCCGUCUUCUGGAUCUCUUUGCGGUUUUACCCGUUAAGAAAAGGAAAUAAAAUAAAAAAUGGUUCAACUAAUUCAGUAAUUGAUUGAUCAUUAACUGGAGUAUAAAAUUUCUCAAAUAAAAACCUUUUCAGUCUGUAAAUCUGUUCUACCAGAACUUUUAUAGUUCAGUUUCAGCUUCACAUUCUGGAAAUAAAUCUAUUAAACACC